ACCCGAAAGGGAAUCCGGUUAAUAUUCCGGAACCCGGACACGGAGAUCGGUCCAGUUUUCCGCAUUCGUGCCCCUGUGGUGCGUCUGUUGGGGGCUGGUCCCAAAGCGGUAACGCAAACGAACUCAGAGACGUCGGCGAGGGCCCCGGGRAGAGUUGUCUUUUCUUCUUAAGGGUCGAAAUUUUCCCUGGAAUCGGUUCGCCCGGAGAUAGGGAUGUAGUACCCGUAGAGCACUGCGGCUCUUGCAGUGUCCGGUGCGCUCUUGUCGGCCCUUGAAAAUCUGAGGGAGUGGUUAUGAUUUUCGUGCCGGGCCGUACCCAUAUCCGCAGCAGGUCUCCA
rnacentral:rRNA from 1 species